UGGGGAAUAUUGCACAAUGGGCGAAAGCCUGAUGCAGCAACGCCGCGUGAGCGAUGAAGGCCUUCGGGUCGUAAAGCUCUGUCCUCAAGGAAGAUAAUGACGGUACUUGAGGAGGAAGCCCCGGCUAACUACGUGCCAGCAGCCGCGGUAAUACGUAGGGGGCUAGCGUUAUCCGGAUUUACUGGGCGUAAAGGGUGCGUAGGCGGUCUUUCAAGUCAGGAGUGAAAGGCUACGGCUCAACCGUAGUAAGCUCUUGAAACUGUAAGACUUGAGUGCAGGAGAGGAGAGUGGAAUUCCUAGUGUAGCGGUGAAAUGCGUAGAUAUUAGGAGGAACACCAGUUGCGAAGGCGGCUCUCUGGACUGUAACUGACGCUGAGGCACGAAAGCGUGGGGAGCAAACAG
rnacentral:rRNA from 1 species